CCGGCGAGAGUUCCUGCUUCAGUUAUGGCGGAGCCCGAAGGGGCAAGGUGGGGAAGCCAGGGCGGGGCUUGGCCAGGAGACGCAGCGGGUACUUUUCUGGCCGGAGCCUUGGAAGGUGAGCGAUAUAAGGAUUUUCGUAGCCCUCUUGGAAUAAAAG